rnacentral:rRNA from 1 species
AUGGCCACCGACACGUUCGUCACCGACGUUGCCUUCGGGGCGGACGUGAUCGUCACCACCGUGACCAACUCCGGCGCGGCCGUAGAGGGCUGGCUCCAGGAGAUCCGCUCCGUCCUCGGCGACCUCGUCGUCGGGAUGGACGUCGAGUGGCGCCCCAGCUACAGCCCCUCCCAGAACCCCGUCGCGCUCCUGCAGCUCUGCGUCGGCCGCCGCUGCCUCAUCUUCCAGCUCCUCCACGCCGACUUCGUCCCCCAGGCUCUGUCGGGCUUCCUCGCCGACCCCAACCUCCGCUUUGUCGGCGUCGGCGUGCAGGAGGACGUCGAGCGCCUCAGCGACGACCACAGCCUCGAGGUGGCCAACGCGGUCGACCUGCGUGGCCUCGCGGCGGAGGGGAUGCAAAUGCCGGAGCUCCGCCAGGCCGGACUGCAGGCCGUGGCGCGCACCGUCAUGGGAGCCAACCUUCAGAAGCCACAGAGGGUGAGGAUGGGCCCGUGGGACGCCUACUGCCUCUCGUACGAUCAGAUCAAGUACGCCUGCAUCGACGCUUUCGUCUCCUUCGAGGUUGGCCGGAAGCUGCUCACAGGCGACCUCUGA